CACAAGCGGUGGAGUAUGUGGUUUAAUUCGAUGCAACGCGAAGAACCUUACCUGGUCUUGACAUCCCGGAGACCCUUAGGAAACUAGGGGGUGCUCCAUCUGGAAGAAUCUGGAGACAGGUGCUGCAUGGCUGUCGUCAGCUCGUGUCGUGAGAUGUUGGGUUAAGUCCCGCAACGAGCGCAACCCUUGCCUUUAGUUGCCAGCAGUUCGGCUGGGCACUCUAAAGGGACUGCCGGUGUUAAACCGGAGGAAGGUGGGGAUGACGUCAAGUCCUCAUGGCCUUUAUGACCAGGGCUACACACGUACUACAAUGGCCGAUACAGCGGGAAGCGGAGGGGCGGCCCUGAGCGGAUCCCUUGAAAGCCGGUCCCAGUUCGGAUUGCAGUCUGCAACUCGACUGCAUGAAGUUGGAAUCGCUAGUAAUCGCGGAUCAGCCAAGCCGCGGUGAAUACGUUCCCGGGCCUU
rnacentral:rRNA from 1 species